CUCAGGAUCCCGGCUGCAUACCAGAUGUCCUGCUCCAGGUCGUGAAUGGCAAAGGCACUGCCAGCAUCACCAUAGCAGGUGUCUUCCUGGAACUUGGUCAUGCCAGCACAGAAGGGUGGUAUAUCAAACCCAAGAAUGCCAGAUGGUUACCUGGAGAAAACUGGCUUCCUAAAGGCAUGACUGUGGCCAUCACUGGUGCCCAGACUACACUUAAAAGACUUCUACACUGAGUGCUCCAAGUGUGAGAUGUGCACUGUGGACUCACCUCAUCUUGGGCCUCUCUUGCCGAUCUCUGGAAGGUCUGUGCCGUGGUGACUUCUGCUGAGCCUUUUAUGCUUCAAGGUCCUACCCCACCUCCUUCUCUUCCAAUUCUGUGUUUGCACAAUGUCAGCCAAGGUCACUGGUUGUUCCAGUAAUCAAACCACAAACCAAACCCCUGUCAAGAGUUGAACUCUUGCUUCAUGCUUUCCUCUGCCAUGGUGUUAUUUUUCAAAUCAUGAAGAAAUCUGGCAACUUCAUGACCCCUCCCACUCACCACAGUACUGGAGAACCCCCAGAGGGUGGGAUGGAGAAGAGGAGCUGUCAGGGUGACACUUUAUUUUUUGGAGGGGAUUAUUAAACCUUUCUUUGAGUUAUUUCAAACCCUUUUAGACACCCCUGUGACCCGACCUAGCUGGGACUCUAAAGAGUUCCCUUUUCUCAUUCAUGCUACCUAAGUGUGAAUGAACAUCUCCUUCCUGAUUGUGGAAAGCUCUGGAAACUGCAAUCAGUAGACUGCGUUUAUUGUGUCUUGGCCCGUUGCUCUCCAACCUCAAGAGUGAUUAAAGCUGUAGUACAGAUUGACAUGGGACCCUCAUGCUGGCUUUUCACUCCAGAGUUUUCUUGGAAUCAUUUCAAGAUCAACACUUCAGUGUAGGCACCCCUGCAACCUCACUCAGGGAGAGCAGGUAAAGAAAGGGUUUCCAUUUCACAGUUACUCCCCAACCUGUGUGGACAUCUUGCUGUUGCUAAAUGUUCCAACUUAAAAUCAGUGAAAUGAGCCUGUUGUGUCUCUGAUUGCUCUUAGUAGAUAACCACACCACGUGGGUAGUGUAGACACAGAACAAGCUCAAUAGCAGGACUUCCUGUGGCUUCAUAGCCCAGCUGCUAGUCAAAAUAGGCAGCUGAGAAACAUCAAUGUUUCAGUCAAAUACCUGCCUUGGUAUGCUCUUCAGUUCAACAUAGCAACUCAAUCUAAAUGUCUUCACUAAUUGAAAAAAAGUUAGCUGUUUUUUAAUUAAAUCAUACCAAAGAAUCAAAUGGGCUGUUAACAGUGGCAUCGAUGCAAUAUCAAAACAACUAGGAAGAGCACAGAUACCUAUCAACAGGGAACUGGUUACUAAUGUGUGGGGUGGUCACACAAUGGAAUACUGUAAAGCCAUGAAAAUGCUUGGACAACAGAGAAGAGAGAUAAUUGAAGAAUUAUGAAAACAGCACAAAGUAGCAGAAGAUUGCAUUGGGAAUAAUACUGCUCUUAUAAAGCUCAAAACCAAGCACAAUUUGGUAAAGGAUUUUUAAAUAUGACACCCAAAUCACAGACAAUAUCAAGAACAUGAAAAAGCAAGGCUAGAUCGAUGGAUCAGCAGUUAAGAGCACUUGCUGCUCUUUGAGAGGACCUGAGCUCAGUUCCCAGGAUCAAGUGUCUUACAACAGCCUAAGAUUUGAGGCCCAGGGUACCCAAUGCCUCUGACCUCACAUGCAGGACACACAGACACACACACGUAUACAUAAUUCAGGGCUACCCUUAAGGCCUCACCUCUCUCUGCUUUCCCUUGUGGGCUUGGAUGCGGGGUCAGACUCAGGCAGAAGAACAGCGUACGACUGUACCUUGGCCUUCCAGGACCCUAUGAUAAAUCUCCUGUUCUGUAGUGAGCCUUCCUUCCUAAUAAAUUCCUUUACCCUUUAAGCAGACUCUGUGGAUUUCUCAUAAUAGGUCUCCUACAGCAAAACAAGAGUUAGGGAAGAAGUGGGGACAUUGGGACCCACAUGCACUGCAGUGGGAAUGUAGAAUGGGGCAUACUCCAAGGCAUAGGUAGCUCCAUGCUCUGUCCAAAAGCUAAUAACAGAAUUACUGUGUGCCUCAGGUGUGUUGUGCAACAGUCCCCCCACCCAGACUGAAACAUCCCAUACUUCAGAGAUGCUAAGCAGGAAAAUAAACAACUCAAAAUAACUUCAGGAGGUCCCUGAAACUGACCGGAUUCACUAGGCCCCUCUCUGCCAGAGUAAACAAUAAAGCUGCCAAGAAGUCACUAAGACCAGAUCAGCUACCUGGAGAAAUCUAAACCAGCUGGGCUGCCUGGAAGAGGUUUAGACCAGAGUCACUUGGAAAAGACACUCUCCAACCUGUUGAGAGACCUUCAGGCUGUGCA